AAGCCAUUAUGCGGAUAAUCUCGCACCAGUCGCUUAAACCUCACCCAGGCAUUACUGAGCGAUUCGUCGAUAUCUUGUUCAAAAUUAGUGAUCAGCUUUCUCCGUCU